GGAGUGGACGCACCACUGGUGUUCCGGUUGUGUCGCCAGACGCAUUGCCGGGUAGCUAAGUGCGGAAGAGAUAAGUGCUGAAAGCAUCUAAGCACGAAACUUGCCAAGAGAUGAGUUCUCCCAGAUUACAAAUCUGUAAGGGUUGUUUAAGACUAAGACGUAGAUAGGCAUGGUGUGUAAGCGGUGCGAGCCGUUGAGCUAACAUGUACUAAUUGCCCGAGAGGCUUAACUAUACAACGCUCAAGGGUUUUG
rnacentral:rRNA from 1 species